CGUGAUAUCGGCGGCGUAGGCGUUACAGCGAAUGCAGAUAAAUUGACAGAACGAAGAAGGCACCCGGCACCGCCGGAGAAGAGGAAAGAACAAAAGAAAAACCAAGGAUCAAUCAAGAGUCAGUUCCCCUCUAUCUGGGAUACCCACCGUCACCCCAUCGACGCGAGUCUCUAACCUCACGGGAGUCCCAACUCAAUGGGUCCAUGUCGAGAUGCAGUCACAAGCGGAGCUCGUGCCAGUUUUAAGCUCUGCCACCCACUCAGAGCGCGGAAAAACAAGGGAAUCCACCUCGAGAGCGAGAAAAAACCAAAUCCUGGUCAAAUUAUAUAGUUCGAAUGCGUUAAUCUUGGAUCGCUGCAAGCACCGAUAACGGCUCUCAUCUGCCGCUCCAAAAACACUCGAGACGAGAAUUGACGCUUGUCAUACCCAAGACCGGGUAUCACCUGAUUACGAGAGAAGGAUCCACCGUAAUAUCCACUUCAGAAUUGGCUCCAACCGGUUUUUUUUUUUCUGACGAUUUGCCUUUUUUUCUCGCCAAAUUCAGACAACUGAACAAAUUUAAGCUGGAAGGAACUAACGAAAGAUGAGAUGUGCUCGUUUUUGAGCUGCAGGAGGAGCAAUGUAAAAGUGGGCGCAAUUCCUUUUCGGGAAAUGGAAAAAUGGGAUUUGACAUGAAAUCAAAAAGAACUAAGCGCCAAACUAUGCAUUCUCAUGAGCCGUGAGCAUGUUACAACAGCAUUGUGGACAGGGCUCAUGAGUUAAAUGACGUCAACUUGAAUCUCCUUGUCCCCGUCGUCGCGGCUGACGUCACUGGCGCUAAAUAAUUCCCAUUCAUUCUUGUAGCCGUUGAAUAACGAGCACCCUCCUUCUUUUUCAUCCGUCUCUGGUUACUUUUAGCAAAAAUACUCCCAAUUGUGAUUUUAUACUAGGAGAAACCAUGUGAAAAUGAAUAUAAUCGGAGGAAACUAUGUUAAAAAUAACUCCUUUGCACAAAAUUCUUUUUUAUUACUGUGCAAAUUUCAUUAUUAUGGAACUUAGGAACGUGGACAAAUUACUGCAUGCAAUUAUUACUGCUCUUAAGCCGCACACGUUGCCUACACAAAUCUGGAAGGCGCACUGAUCAGAAUGAAAACGAGGCAUAGCAAAGAGGAGUGAUGGUAUGGUAAUGCACAAAAUCUAGGAUUAAAACGAAGUAACGUGAACAAAUCUCUGCAUGCAACUAUAACUGCUCCUGAGCCGCCUACGUUGCCUACUCAAAUUUUGAAGGCAAACUAAUCAGAAAUGAAAAAGAACCACAGCAAAGACCACCAUUAAUUUAUUUUCACAUAGUUCUCUUGAGCAUAAACUCGUCUUGGCACAGAGGUUAUAUGCUGAUACAAAUGCCCCAAUUUGCCUCCAAUAAAAUUCCCAAACCAUGUCCAAUUCGUUAGCUCCUCUUGCGUACGGGUGUAUCUCAAUUUUCACGUAAGCCCUGUUCUCCGUAUAACUUAAUGCUUUCCGCGGCUCAUGUGGAAAUAGAUAUGCGCCCUCGCGUCAGAGUAGCGACUAAUUUCGAACAAUGAGCGAAUCAAUUUUGAUCAAGGACUCUUUAGAAUAUGAGGUAUCUUAAACAGGAAGGUCCCUAGAGCCCCAAGAGUCUUCUCGCACCUAUCUGCCUCCUACCUCCUCAGUUUUCAAAAAGACCUUGAGCGUUAGGAUCUUUUUUCUCUCUGUAAAGUUGGCACAAGGCGUCGUCUCGUCACAUCAAAUCGUCCACCAUGGAGCAAAAAUAAUCUUUGCUUUUACAAUGAUCAAAGUGGAUUUAGGUCCCAUAGCAAACUUCUCUGGUCGUAUUUAGUAUUUAUAUAUUGUUACUUUUGUGGUAAAAAUGAUUUCGGUCCCAGUGGCGAUGUGAUAUUGUUAAUGGAACCGAAAUCAACCGAAUCAACGAUUCUUAUUUCUCUGUGCCUGGCCAAGUCAUAUGGGUAAAUAGCAGGAGACAUAGGUGUGACUCCUCUUCAAAAAUACAAACCAUACAAAUCCUAACAAGAAAUAAAUACUAAAAGUGUGAUCCGAACUGUAUGUAACAAGGUGGUAAAAUAAUGCUGGGUCUAAACUUUGGAUCAAUUUUUAACUGUAUUGAAAUUUUCGAAAUCUUCAGGCCUUGCGCCCCUUGCGGUCCCCUCAAAGUGGUAUGGACCCAGCACUAUUUUACCAGCUUGUCAAAUUCUGACCUUAAUUAUAUCCUUUCUUAAACUUAUGUUAAUUCCAAAUAUUUAUAAUACCAUAUCCUGCGCUCAAAAAAGACCAAUCUAUUAUAGAAGUUCAUUUUCAAACAUCUCGCUGCGUGAAUCAUUUUUGAGAGGAAAUUUUGCUUCGAACUAGUGUAAUCAACCCCUGCAGAAGACACAUUUUAUCAAUAUGCUUUGACUGCUCUGCAUAAACAAGAUCAGAUUCAUCUAAAACAGUUGCAACAUUAUGGUUGGUCGAUACAUUUAUUUAAAGGCGCCUUAACACUGCAUAUACCGAGUUGUUCAUAUUCACACUUGAAAAAAUAUAUCAUUAAAAGUGUACAAAAAAAAAGCAAGGAAAAAAUAAAUUAGAUUUGGAGAGUAAGUUGCUUUAAAAAAGUGAGAAAUACGAUGAAAAAAUUCCGAAAUAAU
rnacentral:lncRNA from 1 species